AAAAAGUUCUUUGGAAAAAAAAAAAAAAAAGUCCACAAAAACAAAAAGAGUGCAAAGAAUCUCGUACGGUGUGUUUAUUAGGAAAGUAGGCACAUUUUUCUGACCUACCGUUGCUGAGCAGCUUUUAUCUUCUAUAAACAGAUGAUAAAAGUGCACUGUUUGCAUACUUAGUUAGACGUAACUUCUGACUCCUGCAGCCGAGUAAGCUAUAGCACGGGUUCUCGAAGGGUUUCGGUCCGUACUCUAUCAGGACAGAUUUAUUUCAUGAACAUUAUGUAAUCGGUACAAUAAUAUCGUGUCUAUUCUAGUUGUUCCUGAACUUUCCACUCACACAAGACGUUCGGUCCAACAUUAUUUCGAGUUAUUGAGACCGGAUUCAACCCAUUCGAUUCAAGAAAACCGGGUACCUAUGCAAAGAAAUAAUAAUAAAUAGAAUAAUUUGAUAAUUGUGGAUGGCGAUUUCCACCACAGUAACUAAACUGAAAAAGCACAGACAGCUUCAUGGAUCAACGUUUUAGGAACCGCUGAUCUACAGGAUCUACAUGAUCAAAACGAAUCCAAAUAAUUGGAAUCAAUUUGACAAGUAAAUAGCUUCUUGUUUUUUUUUUUUUUAAUAAUUCUGCUAACGUACGCAGCUUAGUAUAGUACUUCCUGUAUAGUGAGCUUGUGAUCAUGGUUCCUGGGAUGAAGGCAAAGCUGAUUAGGGAUCAAUGAGGUUAUGAUCAUAAUUAAGGAGGUUGUGAUCAAGAUCAGUGAGGUUGUGAUCAUAAUUAAGGAGGCUGUGAUCAAGAUCAAUGAGGUUAUGAUCAAAAUUAAGGAGGUUGUGAUCAUAAUUAAGGAGGUUGUGAUCAUAAUUAAGGGAGGAUAUGUAUCAUAAUUAAGAGGUUGCGAUCAAGAUCAAGGAGGUUAUGAUCAAAAUGAAGGAGUUGUGAUCAAGAGUCCACGACUGACAAAAUGCCAGUGUUCAGGACCCUAAAUAAAACCCAUUCGGAUCAAGCAGUGAAUGCACUCAAUAUACAAAAAAUAAACAAUGACAAGACAUACCUCUGAAACGACUUUUCUGGAUCCUGCAGUGGAAAAUGUGGCUUAAAUCCCAGUGUUUGUUGUGUGAUCGAUCAGCAGAAAGUUAACUAGCUAGUUAGUUGGUUAGUUACUGUCUAACCGCUGCAUUUCCUCGGCUUUAUUUCUCACAAACUUAAGCAGCUCCGCAAACACAAAUUAAGUCCCGUUACAUCGUGACGUCGGACAUUUCUCAUAUAUUCAUGCGUGAUUUAAAACUAGCUAUACAACCCACUUCUCUUAAAAUCAAUAUAAUAAAUGUGCACUCUAAAAGUGUGCGAACUGGCUACAGCGUAACCUCGCAUUCCUAAAUAGAUUUACUAACUCACUAAGGGGGGGAUGCACGCUAUAUAAACAAACGUCCCGACUCAAUGUGCAUUAAAUUGUUCGCUAGUCCCUAGAUAGGUGCACUACGUAGUAAAUAAACCCAACACUUCUACUGUACCCUAAGUAGUGCACUAUAGAUGCAUUUAGAAC
ensembl:lncRNA